AUUGAACGCUGGCGGCAGGCCUAACACAUGCAAGUCGAACGGUAGCAGGAAGAAGCUUGCUUCUUUGCUGACGAGUGGCGGACGGGUGAGUAAUGUCUGGGAAACUGCCUGAUGGAGGGGGAUAACUACUGGAAACGGUAGCUAAUACCGCAUAACGUCGCAAGACCAAAGAGGGGGACCUUCGGGCCUCUUGCCAUCGGAUGUGCCCAGAUGGGAUUAGCUAGUAGGUGGGGUAACGGCUCACCUAGGCGACGAUCCCUAGCUGGUCUGAGAGGAUGACCAGCCACACUGGAACUGAGACACGGUCCAGACUCCUACGGGAGGCAGCAGUGGGGAAUAUUGCACAAUGGGCGCAAGCCUGAUGCAGCCAUGCCGCGUGUAUGAAGAAGGCCUUCGGGUUGUAAAGUACUUUCAGCGGGGAGGAAGGGAGUAAAGUUAAUACCUUUGCUCAUUGACGUUACCCGCAGAAGAAGCACCGGCUAACUCCGU
rnacentral:rRNA from 1 species